AGGCUGCCCGCUUUCCCCACUCCUGUUCACCCUCUCCCUAGAACCCCUUCUUCAACUCAUUCGCACAUCCCCCGAAAUCCUAGUCCGACAGGAAGAAUAUAAGAUCGCAGCGUAUGCAGAUGAUAUCCUCCUGACUCUCACGGACCCCAUCAACUCCCUGCCCCCCCUGCUCACACUCCUCCAAAAAUAUGCCGGUGUCUCCGGCUACAAACUUAAC